CCUACGGGAGGCUGCAGUGGGGAAUAUUGGACAAUGGGGGCAACCCUGAUCCAGCCAUGCCGCGUGUGUGAAGAAGGCCCUCGGGUUGUAAAGCACUUUCAGUGAGGAAGAACGCCUGGUGGUUAAUACCCAUCAGGAAAGACAUCACUCACAGAAGAAGCACCGGCUAACUCCGUGCCAGCAGCCGCGGUAAUACGGAGGGUGCGAGCGUUAAUCGGAAUUACUGGGCGUAAAGCGCGCGUAGGUGGCUUGAUAAGCCGGUUGUGAAAGCCCCGGGCUCAACCUGGGAACGGCAUCCGGAACUGUCAAGCUAGAGUGCAGGAGAGGAAGGUAGAAUUCCCGGUGUAGCGGUGAAAUGCGUAGAGAUCGGGAGGAAUACCAGUGGCGAAGGCGGCCUUCUGGACUGACACCGACACUGAGGUGCGAAAGCGUGGGUAGCAAACAGGAUUAGAUACCCCGGUAGUC
rnacentral:rRNA from 1 species